AUUGAACGCUGGCGGCAGGCCUAACACAUGCAAGUCGAGCGGAUGAAGGGAGCUUGCUCCUGGAUUCAGCGGCGGACGGGUGAGUAAUGCCUAGGAAUCUGCCUGGUAGUGGGGGAUAACGUCCGGAAACGGGCGCUAAUACCGCAUACGUCCUGAGGGAGAAAGUGGGGGAUCUUCGGACCUCACGCUAUCAGAUGAGCCUAGGUCGGAUUAGCUAGUUGGUGGGGUAAAGGCCUACCAAGGCGACGAUCCGUAACUGGGCUGAGAGGAUGAUCAGUCACACUGGAGCUGAGACACGGUCCAGACUCCUACGGGAGGCAGCAGUGGGGAAUAUUGGACAAUGGGCGAAAGCCUGAUCCAGCCAUGCCGCGUGGGUGAAGAAGGUCUUCGGAUUGUAAAGCACUUUAAGUUGGGAGGAAGGGCAGUAAGUUAAUACCUUGCUGUUUUGACGUUACCAACAGAAUAAGCACCGGCUAACUUCGU
rnacentral:rRNA from 1 species